rnacentral:rRNA from 1 species
CAUUCAUUUGACGUUAGCUGCAGAAGAAGCACCGGCUAACUCCGUGCCAGCAGCCGCGGUAAUACGGAGGGUGCGAGCGUUAAUCGGAAUUACUGGGCGUAAAGCGCAUGCAGGUGGAUGAUUAAGUCAGAUGUGAAAGCCCGGGGCUCAACCUCGGAAUAGCAUUUGAAACUGGUCAUCUAGAGUACUGUAGAGGGGGGUAGAAUUUCAGGUGUAGCGGUGAAAUGCGUAGAGAUCUGAAGGAAUACCAGUGGCGAAGGCGGCCCCCUGGACAGAUACUGACACUCAGAUGCGAAAGCGUGGGGAGCAAACAGGAUUAGAUACCCUGGUAGUCCACGCCGUAAACGAUGUCUACUUGGAGGUUGUGGCCUUGAGCCGUGGCUUUCGGAGCUAACGCGUUAAGUAGACCGCCUGGGGAGUACGGUCGCAAGAUUAAAACUCAAAUGAAUUGACGGGGGCCCGCACAAGCGGUGGAGCAUGUGGUUUAAUUCGAUGCAACGCGAAGAACCUUACCUACUCUUGACAUCCAGAGAAGCCAGCGGAGACGCAGGUGUGCCUUCGGGAGCUCUGAGACAGGUGCUGCAUGGCUGUCGUCAGCUCGUGUUGUGAAAUGUUGGGUUAAGUCCCGCAACGAGCGCAACCCUUAUCCUUGUUUGCCAGCGAGUAAUGUCGGGAACUCCAGGGAGACUGCCGGUGAUAAACCGGAGGAAGGUGGGGACGACGUCAAGUCAUCAUGGCCCUUACGAGUAGGGCUACACACGUGCUACAAUGGCGCAUACAGAGGGCGGCCAACUUGCAAAAGUGAGCGAAUCCCAAAAAGUGCGUCGUAGUCCGGAUUGGAGUCUGCAACUCGACUCCAUGAAGUCGGAAUCGCUAGUAAUCGUGGAUCAGAAUGCCACGGUGAAUACGUUCCCGGGCCUUGUACACACCGCCCGUCACACCAUGGGAGUGGGCUGCAAAAGAAGUAGGUAGUUUAACCUUCGGGAGAACGCUUACCACUUUGUGGUUCAUGACUGGGGUGAAGUCGUAACAAGGUAGCGCUAGGGGAACCUGGCGCUGGAUCACCUCCUUAUACGAUGAU